GACGAACGCUGGCGGCGUGCUUAACACAUGCAAGUCGAACGGAAAGGCCUUGCUCUUGUGGGGGGCUCGAGUGGAGAACGGGAGAGUAAGACGUGAGUAACGUGCCCUUGACUGUGGGAUACCUUCAGGAAACCGGGGCUAAUAGCGGAUAGGAGCUACUGCUGCAUGGUGGGGGUUGGAAAGUGUCGGCGGUUGGGGAUGGACACGUGGCUUAUCAGCUUGUUGGUGGGGUAGUGGCCGAGCAAGGCUUUGACGGGUAGCCGGCCGGGCAGGGUGACCGUCCACCUUGGUAGUGAUAUGCCACCCAGACUCCUACGGGGGGCAGCAGUGGUGGAUAUUGCACAGUGGUCGGAGGCCUCCUGCCGCAGCGCCGCGGCCGGGAUGUCGGCCUUCGACUUGUAGUCCGCUGUCGCCUGUGACGAAGCGUGAGUGACGGUAAUGGGUAAAUAAGCACCGGCUAACUACGUG
rnacentral:rRNA from 1 species